rnacentral:rRNA from 1 species
ACUCCUACGGGAGGCAGCAGUGGGGAAUAUUGCACAAUGGGCGCAAGCCUGAUGCAGCCAUGCCGCGUGUGUGAAGAAGGCCUUCGGGUUGUAAAGCACUUUCAGUCGUGAGGAAGGUAGUGUAGUUAAUAGCUGCAUUAUUUGACGUUAGCGACAGAAGAAGCACCGGCUAACUCCGUGCCAGCAGCCGCGGUAAUACGGAGGGUGCGAGCGUUAAUCGGAAUUACUGGGCGUAAAGCGCAUGCAGGUGGUUUGUUAAGUCAGAUGUGAAAGCCCGGGGUCUCAACCUCGGAAUAGCAUUUGAAACUGGCAGACUAGAGUACUGUAGAGGGGGUAGAAUUUCAGGUGUAGCGGUGAAAUGCGUAGAGAUCUGAAGGAAUACCGGUGGCGAAGGCGGCCCCCUGGACAGAUACUGACACUCAGAUGCGAAA